GACGGGGGGUCCUAGCGUUGUUCGGAAUCAUUGGGCGUAAAGCGUGUGCAGGUGGUUUGGUAAGUUAGAUGUGAAAUCCUUGGGCUUAACCCAAGACGUGCAUUUAAAACUACCAGACUUGAAUAUGGAAGAGGGUCGUGGAAUUCCAGGUGUAGCGGUGAAAUGCGUAGAGAUGCGGAGGAACACCGAUGGCGAAGGCAGCCCCCUGGGCUGACACUGACGCUCAGGCACGAAAGCGUGGGGAGCAAACAGG
rnacentral:rRNA from 1 species